UUCCUGGUGGUCCAGUGGCUAAGAUUUUGCACUCCCAAUGCACGGGGCCCAGGUUCAAUCCCUGGUCUGGGAA
rnacentral:tRNA from 1 species